CGGUGUGUGUAAUUUAAAAAAAAUGUCAGGCUGUGACCCUGACAAUAGGAGUUACUCCUCACACACCA
rnacentral:tRNA from 1 species